rnacentral:rRNA from 1 species
AUUGAACGCUGGCGGCAGGCCUAACACAUUCAAGUCGAGCGAGCGGCGGACGGGUGAGUAAUGCCUGGGAAUUGCCCAGUCGAGGGGGAUAACAGUUGGAAACGACUGCUAAAUCCGAAUACGACUGGAUUGACCAGGGGGGAUUCGUGAGUUGGUGAGGUAAUGGCUCACCAAGGUGACGAUCCCUAGCUGGUCUGAGAGGAUGUUCAGCCACACUGUAACUGAGACACGGUCCAGAAUCCUACGGGAGGCAGCAGUGGGGAAUAUUGCACAAUGGGGGAAACCCUGAUGCAGCCAUGCCGCGUGUGUGAAGAAGGCCUUCGGGUUGUAAAUCACUUUCAGCGAGGAGGCGGUACUCGCAGAAGAAGCACCGGCUAACUCCGUGCCAGCAGCCGCGGUAAUAC